AUUGAACGCUGGUGGCAGGCCUAACACAUGCAGGUCGAACGGUAGCACAGAGAGCUUGCUCUUGGGUGACGAGUGGCGGACGGGUGAGUAAUGUCUGGGAAACUGCCCGAUGGAGGGGGAUAACUACUGGAAACGGUAGCUAAUACCGCAUAACGUCGCAAGACCAAAGUGGGGGACCUUCGGGCCUCACACCAUCGGAUGUGCCCAGAUGGGAUUAGCUAGUAGGUGGGGUAAUGGCUCACCUAGGCGACGAUCCCUAGCUGGUCUGAGAGGAUGACCAGCCACACUGGAACUGAGACACGGUCCAGACUCCUACGGGAGGCAGCAGUGGGGAAUAUUGCACAAUGGGCGCAAGCCUGAUGCAGCCAUGCCGCGUGUAUGAAGAAGGCCUUCGGGUUGUAAAGUACUUUCAGCGAGGAGGAAGGUGUUGUAGUUAAUAGCUGCAGCAAUUGACGUUACUCGCAGAAGAAGCACCGGCUAACUCCGUGCCAGCAGCCGCCGUAA
rnacentral:rRNA from 1 species